rnacentral:rRNA from 1 species
UACGUAGGGAGCAAGCGUUGUCCGGAAUCAUUGGGCGUAAAGGGCGCGCAGGCGGCUAUCCAAGUCAGGCGUGAAAGCCCCGGGCUUAACCUGGGAGGUGCGUCUGGGACUGGGUGGCUAGAGUUCGGGAGAGGAGAGUGGAAUUCCCAGUGUAGAGGUGAAAUUCGUAGAUAUUGGGAAGAACACCGGUGGCGAAGGCGGCUCUCUGGACCGAGACUGACGCUGAGGCGCGAAAGCGUGGGGAGCAAACAGG